UUGGAAUUGCUGGUCAAGCACAUUGAUUCUGCUUCACUCAGGUGAAGAUGAAAGUAGCUGCAACAAUAGAUACUGCGUUUGAAGGUCAUUGAGUUGUAGCGAGGCAAGGGGAGCAAGAGAGUAAGACACACACGCAAAGUAAUGGAAUUUUUAUUUGGUAUCUGGGAAGCCUUGAGUGACACAGUACGAGCUGACCUUGAAAUUUCAUACUUUUGUGACUCAUAGCAUUUGCUUUUAUAUUCCAGAAAAAUGCGAUGAUGCUUUAAAGGGAAAUUAGUAUAGCCAGUUUUACUCUCUGGGAAGCUUACACCGGAUAUGAUUUAUUUGUUGACUUUAUGAUAAUAUGGAAAAUGAAGACCUGGUUAAUUUCAGGUGAAUCUGACAUAAAAGAGGCAGUAUAAUUUCAAGUGAAUCUGCUCGGAAGACUGCAUAUCUCGUGAAGAAAAGGAAUCUGACUUUUAGGAGCAGUGAUAGUCUGUCACAUAAAACGUGCGUAGUGAAGAAGAUCGAACCUGACAUGGAUCGUGACCGUGGUCGGGACCAGAGAGAUGGUAUCCCCAGGUCUCUCCAGCUCUCUGAUCCAUGCAGAAGUGAGUAUAAUUUUUAGAAUAUUUUCUCUUAUUUCUGGGUUUAGAUUCCCUUUCCCUUUUCUUUAGACCCAGGUAAAGGUUUCCAGUAGGAGAUGGGUGUGGCAAGUUAUGUGACCAGUGAGUAACCUAAGAAGGAAUUUGGAAGAAGGGUCAAGAAAACUGACACUAUCUUGUGAACCAGGAAAAUCAUGGAAAGUUAUCAUUAAGCAACUACCGUGAUUUAACCUCACUCUUCCCCACCCUGCAAAGUGAGGCAUAUCUUUCAAGUUGAGGAACCAGGGUUCCGAGAGGCUAGUAAAUGGCAGGCUUGGAUUUGAAUCAAAGCACCACCCUCCGUCAGCCUUGCUCUGGUCCCACACUGUAAGUGGCUGCACAUGGGAGCCUUGACCGUCUGGAUGAGGCGUUUGAAUCUCCCAUAGCAAGCAGAACUUCAUAAGAAGGCAGAAGCUAAAUUUCCAUGACCUUGAAUUAAAUAUAGUACUUAAGCAGGAAUUAUGUCUCCCCUACUUUUUUCUUUACUGAUGGAAGGGGAGAAUAGAGAAGAGAAGGUGACUAGGUGCUUUUGGUGCUAAAAUAGGACAUGAGAACUCAUGCUUCCGCUGACAUCCUAAGAUAGAAGACACGAAGUGAGGCAUCAGACCGAGAUGAACAUGUUCAAAACAGGUGGCUGAGACCUGGGUGGGGUUCCCCUUCCCCCACAGGGAGUGAGGAUGCAGAAAGGGAUUUGGAAGGAAGUGUCUUUGGUGAAAAUCAUUGCUUUGCUAUGAGUCCCCCCCCGCCACACCCUAAGAGGAAAGGUUGAGGAGAGAUGCCUCUCCCUCCCCCUAAAACAAGUGGAGGGACAUUGAGUCCACUCAGUGAACUUGAUGUCAGUCUCAGCCACUGAAUAGACAAGUGUCUGAUUCAGAGCUGAAGAAGCAGAAAGCUUGCUUCCUGCUCUGAUGGUGGAUAUGAAGGAGGGCUGCUCCUGCCCUGGGUACUUCCUCCCAGAAUUUGUGGAGGCAAAGAGUGCGUGAG
ensembl:lncRNA